UUUUAGCAGUAAACGCAUUAUUGAACAAGUAACUACCCUUCACAAACGUUAGACAUUUUCUAGUGUGGUAGUUGCUUAAUAACUACUGCCGAAUGAAAAACACACAUCCUAAAACCGUCAGGACUCGAGCUGAACUUCGUUCCAGUUCGCUCAAGCUCAACAGACCGACACCGACCUUUGCCGGCUGUUCGGUUUAGUGUACUGUGGUACCUCGAGCGCGACUGUGCUACGAAAGGAUUUCUAAAUUUCGUUAACUUUAUCAUUUUAUAGAUUCACAAAGCAAUUCUCGAAGUUUCUUUCUGAAGUUGACUUCUAGAUUCACCGCAAUACUUCUGAAUAAACCAAUCAUCAAAAUUACUUUCUAAACGAAAUUCAUUGCACUGACAACAACAUCAUCAGCGGUUUUUACAGUAACUGGUACUUUUCUGCAGCCAGGAGAUUUCAAUAUUCUGACUAAGAGUUUCAAAUUUUCUUGAAG